GACAGAGGGUGCUAGCGUUGUCCGGAAUUAUUGGGCGUAAAGAGCUCGUAGGCGGCUUGUCACGUCGGGUGUGAAAGCCCGGGGCUUAACCCCGGGUCUGCAUUCGAUACGGGCUAGCUAGAGUGUGGUAGGGGAGAUCGGAAUUCCUGGUGUAGAGGUGAAAUUCGUAGAUAUCAGGAGGAACACCGGUGGCGAAAGCGGCUUCCUGGCCCGACAUUGACGCUCAUGUACGAAAGCGUGGGGAGCAAACAGG
rnacentral:rRNA from 1 species